GACGAACGCUGGCGGCGUGCCUAACACAUGCAAGUCGAACGGAAAACAUAGCAAUAUGUUUUUAGUGGCGAACGGGUGAGUAACGCGUAGACAACCAACCUUUUUGUGGGGGACAACACUUCGAAAGGAGUGCUAAUACCGCAUACGCUCCAGAUGCCGCCUGGUGUUUGGAGGAAAGGAGCUGUAAGGCUUCGCAAAAAGACGGGUCUGCGUCGGAUUAGCUAGUUGGAGGGGUAACGGCCCACCAAGGCGACGAUCAGUAGCCGGUCUGAGAGGAUGGACGGCAACACUGGGACAGAGACACGGCCCAGACUCCUACGGGAGGCAGCAGUGGGGAAUCUUCCGCAAUGGACGAAAGUCUGACGGAGCGACGCCGCGUGAGUGAUGAAGGCCCUUGGGUCGUAAAGCUCUGUCAUCAGGGACGAACGGUCACGUCAGGAAAUGGGCGUGAAUUGACGGUACCUGAGAAGGAAGCCACGGCUAACUACGUGCCAGCCGCCGCAGUA
rnacentral:rRNA from 1 species